GGCACCACCAAGCAAGUGACACCAUGAAGACCAAGGAGCGUGCCAAACAGGUGUCCAUUUCAGAAAAGUUAAUGAAACCCAAAGAGUGGAUUGCCCUCUGUCCUGGACUAGAACAUUAGACUGAUAUAAGGACGUCCCUCAGCCCUGACAGGACAAUGUCAACCCUGGUUGUUCCUUGUGACUCCUGGAGGACGAACAUCAACCUAUCAGGAUUCUCCUCAAGUAAGGACCAUU